UUGCUGUGGCAGCACAUAUACUAAAAUUGGAAUGGUACAGAGAAGAUUAGCACGGCCCCUGUGCAAGGAUGACACACAAAAUUAGUGAAGUGCUCCCUAUUUAG
ensembl:snRNA U6 U6 spliceosomal RNA